rnacentral:rRNA from 1 species
GACGCAGCGGCGCCGCGUGAGCGAAGAAGGCUUUCGAGUCGUAAAGCUCUGUAAUAAGGGAAGAACGCUGUAUAUACGAAGAGUAUAUGCAGCUGACAGUACCUUAACAACAGCCCCGGCUAACUACGUGCCAGCAGCCGCGGUAACACGUAGGGGGCGAGCGUUGUCCGGAAUCACUGGGCGUAAAGGGUACGUAGGCGGAUAUAUAAGUCAAAUGUGAAAGGCACCGGCUUAACCGGUGAGCUGCAUUUGAAACUGUAUAUCUUGAGUUCAGGAGAGGAGAGUGGAAUUCCUGGUGUAGCGGUGGAAUGCGUAGAUAUCAGGAAGAACACCAGUGGCGAAGGCGGCUCUCUGGCCUGAAACUGACGCUCAGGUACGAAAGCUGGGGUAGCAAACG